rfam:Equus caballus chromosome X, whole genome shotgun sequence.
GCUCAACUAUUUUUGCGAUGUGUUCCUAAUACGUAAUAUAAAUGUAUUGGGAACAUUUUGCAUUCAUAGUUUUGUAUC